GAUGAACGCUGGCGGCGUGCCUAAUACAUGCAAGUCGAGCGAACAGACGAGGAGUUUGCUCCUCUGACGUUAGCGGCGGACGGGUGAGUAACACGUGGAUAACCUACCUAUAAGACUGGGAUAACUUCGGGAAACCGGAGCUAAUACCGGAUAAUAUAUUGAACCGCAUGGUUCAAUAGUGAAAGACGGUUUUGCUGUCACUUAUAGAUGGAUCCGCGCCGCAUUAGCUAGUUGGUAAGGUAACGGCUUACCAAGGCAACGAUGCGUAGCCGACCUGAGAGGGUGAUCGGCCACACUGGAACUGAGACACGGUCCAGACUCCUACGGGAGGCAGCAGUAGGGAAUCUUCCGCAAAGGGCGAAAGCCUGACGGAGCAACGCCGCGUGAGUGAUGAAGGUCUUCGGAUCGUAAAACUCUGUUAUUAGGGAAGAACAAAUGUGUAAGUAACUAUGCACGUCUUGACGGUACCUAAUCAGAAGGCCACGGCUAACUACGUG
rnacentral:rRNA from 1 species